UUGUGCUUGACCAUACAUAUGCCAUCUGAGAGAAUACCCUACGCAGUGUAAUAAGGCUGUUUGCCGGCCUCCGGAGUUCUUAGUAAGCCCGCGAAAGUUCGUUCUUUCCGUGUCUGGGAAUCCCAAGGGUGCGACGAACAUGUAAUAGGAGAAGGUGUAGUGAAGGAAAAAGGUGUUGUGAAAUGGUUUAAUGCCGCUAAAGGCUAUGGAUUCAUCCAGCGAUCGAGCGGCGACGAUGUGUUCGUUCACUUUUCCGCGAUCCAGUCCAGUGGCUAUCGCAGCCUGGAUGAAGGCGCCGAGGUGGAGUUCGAGGUCAAGCAGGGUCCCAAGGGUCUUCAGGCCGAAAACGUAAUCCGCGUCUGAUCUUUCCCGCAUUGCAAAAACGAAAGAGGGCCCUGCGGGGCCCUUUUGUGUU
rnacentral:misc_RNA from 1 species